rnacentral:tRNA from 1 species
GCCGGGGUGGCGGAAUUGGUAGACGCAGUGGACUCAAAAUCCACCGCUGGCAACAGCGUGCGAGUUCGAGUCUCGCCCUCGGCACCA